rnacentral:SRP_RNA from 1 species
GGAAGAACUAAUUCAAGGAUACGAC